rnacentral:lncRNA from 1 species
AUGGGCAUUCACGUUUGGAGCGAGCAGAGCGAGCAGUCGCACCACGCUUCGCUCCACAGGCCAUACAAACGCUCCACACCGCGUGGCCGCUGCCACUCUAACCUGGUGGUCCCAGCGCGCACGACCCACGUGGAGUUCCAGGUCUCCAGCAGCCUCUGGAACUGCCGGUCUGCGGCCAACAAGGCAGAGUUCAUCUCAGCCUAUGCUACCCUCCAGUCCCUAGACUUCCUGGCGCUGACGGAAACAUGGAUCACCACAGAUAACACUGCUACUCCUACUGCUCUCUCCUCGUCUGACUACGUGUUCUCGCAUACCCCUAGAGCAUCGAGCCAGCGGGGUGGUGGCACUGGAAUCCUCAACUCUCCCAAGUGGACAUUCUCUCUUUCUCCCCUGACCCAUCUGUCUAUCUCCUCAUUUGAAUUCCAUGCUGUCACAGUUACCAGCCCUUUCAAGCUUAACAUCCUUAUCAUUUAUCGCCCUCCAGGUUCCCUUGGAGAGUUCAUCAAUGAGCUUGACGCCUUGAUAAGUUCCUUUCCUGAGGAUGGCUCACCUCUCACAGUUCUGGACCAUUUCCGGAGACCUUCUCCCCUACCUCACCUCGCUCAUCAACGCAUCCUUGACCGCUGGCUACGUCCCUUCCGUCUUCAAGAGAGCGAGAGUUGCACCCCUUCUGAAAAAACCUACACUCGACCCCUCCGAUGUCAACAACUACAGACCUAUCUGCUGCCUUUGAUACCGUGAACCAUCAGAUCCUCCUCUCCACCCUCUCCGAGCUGGGCAUCUCUGGCACCGCGCACGCUUGGAUUGCGUCCUACCUGACAGGUCGCUCCUACCAGGUGGCGAAUCGCAUCUCUGCAUGUCUGGCAGACAUAUCAGUGUGGAUGACGGAUCACCACCUCAAGCUGAACCUCGGCAAGACGGAGCUGCUCUUCCUCCCGGGGAAGGACUGCCCGUUCCAUGAUCUCGCCAUCACGGUUGACAACUCCCUUGUGUCCUCCUCCCAGAGUGCUAAGAGCCUUGGCGUGACCCUGGACAACACCCUGUCGUUCUCCACCAACAUCAAGGCGGUGACCCGAUCCUGUAGGUUCAUGCUCUACAACAUUCGCAGAGUACGACCCUGCCUCACACAGGAAGCGGCGCAGGUCCUAAUCCAGGCACUUGUCAUCUCCCGUCUGGAUUACUGCAACUCGCUGUUGGCUGGGCUCCCUGCCUGUGCCAUUAAACCCCUACAACUCAUCCAGAACGCCGCAGCC